rnacentral:rRNA from 1 species
GAUGAACGCUGGCGGCGUGCUUAAUACAUGCAAGUCGAGCGAAGCGGGGACGGGUGAGUAAAACGUGGAUAACCUCCUAUAAGACUGGGAUAACUUCGGGAAACCGGAGCUAAACCGGAUACUUAACGAUGGAUCUGCGCUGCAUUAGCUAGUUGGUAAGGUAACGGCUUACCAAGGACACGAUGCAUAGCCGACCUGAGAGGGUGAUCGGCCACACUGGGACUGAGACACGGUCCAGACUCCUACGGGAGGCAGCAGUAGGGAAUCUUCCGCAAUGGGCGAAAGCCUGACGGAGCCACGCCGCGUGAGUGAUGAAGGUCUUCGGAUCGUAAAACUCUGUUAUUAGGGAAGCGGUACCUAAUCAGAAAGCCCCGGCUAACUACGUGCCAGCAGCCGCGGUAAUAC